AUGCAGCUCUAAAUUGGGAGGUAAAUUUCUUCUAAAGCUAAAUACUGGCCAGAGACCGAUAGCGCACAAGUAGAGUGAUCGAAAGAUGAAAAGCMCUUUGGAAAGAGAGUCAAACAGCACGUGAAAUUGUUGAAAGGGAAGCGCUUGCAGCCAGACUUGCCUGUAGUUGCUCAUCCGGGCUCUUACCCGGUGCACUCUUCUGCGGGCAGGCCAGCAUCAGUUUGGGCGGUUGGAUAAAGGUYUYUGGCACGUUCCUCUCUUCGGAGAGGCCAUAUAGGGGAGACGACAUACAACCAGCCUGGACUGAGGUCCGCGCAAUCUUGCUAGGAUGCUGGCGCAAUGGCUGUAAGCGGCCCGUCUUGAAACACGGACCAAGGAGUCUAACAUCUAUGCGAGUGUUUGGGUGUCAAGCCCGAGCGCGUAAUGAAAGUGAACGGAGGUGGGAACCCGUAAGGGUGCACCAUCGACCGAUCCUGAUGUCUUCGGAAGGAUUUGAGUAAGAGCAUGGCUGUUGGGACCCGAAAGAUGGUGAACUAUGCUUGAAUAGGGUGAAGCCAGAGGAAACUCUGGUGGAGGCUCGCAGCGGUUCUGACGUGCAAAUCGAUCGUCAAAUUUGGGCAUAGGGGCGAAAGACUAAUCGAACUAUCUAGUAGCUGGUUCCUGCCGAAGUUUCCCUCAGGAUAGCAGUAACGUAUUCAGUUUUAUGAGGUAAAGCGAAUGAUUAGAGGCCUGGGGGUUGAAACAACCUUCACCUAUUCUCAAACUUUAAAUAUGUAAGAAGUCCUUGUUACUUAAUUGAACGUGGACACUUGAAUGAACGUUAUUAGUGGGCCAUUUUUGGUAAGCAGAACUGGCGAUGCGGGAUGAACCGAACGAGGGGUUAAGGUGCCGGAAUAUACGCUCAUCAGACACCACAAAAGGUGUUGGUUCAUCUAGACAGCAGGACGGUGGCCAUGGAAGUCGGAAUCCGCUAAGGAGUGUGUAACAACUCACCUGCCGAAUGAACUAGCCCUGAAAAUGGAUGGCGCUCAAGCGUAUUACCCAUACCCCUCCGCCGGGGCAAAAUUUACGCCCCGGCGAGUAGGCAGGCGUGGAGGCUCGU
rnacentral:rRNA from 1 species